CUUCAAUCAGUUUGCUUUCCACCUGACUGAGGUCGGUACGUACGUUGGUGCAGUGGAGGAUGAACAGUUACUUUUUGGGAGUUUUGGGGACAUUUUUGGACGAGAGAAAAGCAUGUUUGGCAGGGAAGGAGCUCACACAUAUCUCCUUUUGUGAUUUCAGCACAGUGCAGGGGAAGCUGAGGUCCCCUUUAAGGCAGCCACCACUGGAACCUAAUAUCUAGUCCAGGAGUCAUAGAGAAUAAUAGUUAACGUUUGCUGUUCUGUGAAGUCUCCCAGAUGCCCUAAAUAUGUCAUGGCGGCACCACCACAUCUCCCCACGGGGCUGGUAUCCUUACCCAUGCUGCACCAGCGAGAGAACGCUCGCCUUCCCUCUCUUUUAACUUGCAGCUGAAGGCCUUUUAUUUCCCAAGGAGUAUUGCUCCACACAUAUGGUCAGGCCUUCUUGCCUUCUGCUUCUGAAUGAUGCAACUUAGGGACUUUGUGUACUCUGCAGAAAGGGAGGUUGCGGGGAGUUAAACAUGUUCCGUACGUCGCUCGCGUUGUGUAUGCAGUAGGGUUGUACGGUAUACCGUUACUAGUAUAGUAUCGCGGUACUAAUGAAUCAAAAACGGUACUAUACUCCGUUUGAAAAGCACCGGUUCCCGAGGAGGAUGAGGAACAUGUUCGGCAGCGCACAAUCACGGAGUACUUACAUGCAGACAGAAAAGUGAGAAUGGACGCAUUUUGGUGUAAAAACCAAAGAUAAAGGUGAACUUAUAACACUGAAACAUCCUCAGGAAGAGGUGCUUUAAGACAUGGCUAGCAGCUAACUUCCAUCCACAGUCGGCAGUGUUUUAACUACUUCUAAAUCACUAAUCCUGGCCUCCAUGGCGACGAAGUACGUUUCUUAUAAGUAGCAUUAUCACUGGAGGACGAGGAAUAGCUAAACAUGCUUCACUACACACCCUAGGAGGAUACAAUGGCUCACCGGCGUCACCGCUAUCAAAAACUAGCACGUCUUAAUGUAAACAAAUGCAAUGGGUGGAUUUACACCUGACAUCCACUGUAAUGAUAUCAAGUACAAGAGCGUAUCUAGUAGAUACUACUAUGAUUAGAUCGAUUUUUUUAUCACCACAAAAUCUUAUUUCCUUUUUUGAAAAUUCAUAAUAUGUUUAUAAACUCAGGAAAUAUGUCCCUGGACACAUGAGGACUUUGACUUUGACCAAUGCAUGAUCCUGUAACUACUUGGUAUCGGAUCGAUACCUAAAUGUGUGGAAUCAUCCAAAACUAAUGUAAAGUUUCCAAACUACAGAAGAAUAAGUGAUUAUUACAUUUUAACAGAAGUGUAGAUAGAACAAGUUAAAACAGAAAAUAAGCAGAUAUUAACAGUAAAUGAACAAGUAGAUUAAUAAAACAUUUUUACAGUUUGUCCCUCAUAAUGUAGACACAAUAAUAGAAUGAGUCUUUGUUUGGUUACUUACUACUACAAGACAAGUCGUCUAGUAUGUUCACUAUUUUAUUUAAGGACUAAAUUGUUCUUCGAUUGCAAUAAGAAACAUAUGUUUAAUGUACCCUAAGAGUUUUUGUUAAAAUAAAGCCAAUAAUG